AAGUCACAGAGAGUAAUUAACAAUUAAGAUAAUUGAAAAGGUCAACUAAAUGUAAACAGAAUUGCGAUCAGCUGGUGGUAACCAUGGUUACCAUUCAUCUUCCUGUUUUCGCGGUUAAAACUCAAUUACAUGAGAAAAUGAGAUUAAUCAUUUUCUUAAUCUUUUCUUUUUUUAUUCUUCUUUAGUUCAAAUUAACUGGUUUUCUCUUUCUUUUAUUUUCCGUCUGUGACCUUGAUCUUCAGGUUUCUCUUUCUUUACCUGUUGAAAGGAAAUUCUGAUCCUCUGCCUUUUCCUGUGUUUCUUUUUUUGGGUGUUGGCUUUUGUUUUUUUUUUGUUCCUUCUUCUUGUGUGUGGGUUGAAAACACGGAAAUUAUGGUUCACCUUUAUAAUUUUAGAAUUAGUUAACUAAUUGUUAACAUUGUAACUCCAAUAGAUGAACAAUCUUGGUCAUUUUUUUCUGGAAUCUCUCAUGUUACCUGUUUCAUGGUUUACAUCAUCAUCUCCAUCAUGAUGGGUCAUGAUUACAACCUUAUGGAUACAUGACAAGGUUAAUAUAUUUUGAUGGACAUUUACUGAUUUUGUCUCAUCAUCAUCAACAUUUUCUGCUUGAUUAACCAAUUAGGUUUGUUCUUUAAGAAACAAAUUGGAUACUUAAGAAAAUAUUCACUUCAUAUUCUAUAGACUGUCAACUGAUUGUUUCUAAAUUGGAAGUGAUUGUGAUUAAUUUUUUUUCUAUCUUCUUCUAAAUCGAUUGAUGGUUAAUGAUUUGUGGAAACAAGGGAAUCAAUUAAUUGGCAUAAAAACUUAGUCAUAUUCCUGAUAUUCCAUGAGAGAUGAAAUAAUCCAAAGUGAACAACCAUUAAAGGACAUUAACCAUGGAAAUUUUUGGAGAAAAGAAGAAAAUUUGAUCAAAUUUUAACCAUGAUAAUCAAUUAAUUGCUGUUGAUGAUCAAUUUUCUAUUGUUCCUGCUGAUAGACUUGAUUGGAUAAGGAAACUCUGUUGGAGAUUUAAAAAUUUACAUCAUUUUAUUUGAUCAUUCAAUCAACUCGGUGAUUAAAAUCUACGUCUGGUCAAUAUCUAAUUCAUCUCAGAUUCUAACAAUUAGAUGAUCAUCAUAAUCAACAAAUCUCAUUGAUUAUCGUUCAGUUUAACAAGGUUUGAAAUUUUGUUCUAUUCUAUUCCAAUGAGAUUUAUCAUCCUCCCAAUUCUUGGUUAUUCAUCAGCAUCAGAAUCUUUUUUGCUUCUUCCUGAUCAUCUUCUCAUGGAAAAGGUCAAAAAUCGGAUACAGAGAUUUGUUCAUUCAACUUAUUAUCACAAUGGCGAUUUCCUUAUAUUUCAGAUUUGACAGUUUGAUGAGCAAAAAAUUUGAUUGUUGUGAAAAAAAUGAAAAUAGAUUAACGGAAAUUGAAUUUAAUUACCACUCGUAUCAAAAUCUACGUGAUGUUACAAUUUAAUUAUUACCUGAACAUUGACAUUGAUUGUGAUCUAAUUUAACUGGUUAAAAUUAAUCUCUAAUUUUGUAAUCAUAUUAUUAGAUUUAAAUUCAAGUUUGAUUAUUGUUACAC